rnacentral:rRNA from 2 species
UAGGGAAUCUUCCGCAAUGGGCGAAAGCUUGACGGAGCAACGCCGCGUGAGUGAUGAAGGUCUUCGGAUCGUAAAACUCUGUUAUUAGGGAAGAACAAAUGUGUAAGUAACUAUGCACGUCUUGACGGUACCUAAUCAGAAAGCCACGGCUAACUACGUGCCAGCAGCCGCGGUAAUACGUAGGUGGCAAGCGUUAUCCGGAAUUAUUGGGCGUAAAGCGCGCGUAGGCGGUUUUUUAAGUCUGAUGUGAAAGCCCACGGCUCAACCGUGGAGGGUCAUUGGAAACUGGAAAACUUGAGUGCAGAAGAGGAAAGUGGAAUUCCAUGUGUAGCGGUGAAAUGCGCAGAGAUAUGGAGGAACACCAGUGGCGAAGGCGACUUUCUGGUCUGUAACUGACGCUGGUGUGCGAAAGCGUGGGGAUCAAACAGG